rnacentral:misc_RNA from 1 species
UACAGAAGCCUCGAGCGUUACCCGGAUUCACUGGGCGUAAAGGGUGCGUAGGCGGUGUUAUUAGUCAGAUGUUAAAUCCUGGGGCUCAACCUCAGGCUCGCAUUUGAAACGGUAACACUAGAAGAAGUCAGAGGUACAUGGAACUCUCGGUGUAGGGGUGAAAUCCGUUGAUAUCGAGGGGAACACCAAAUGCGAAGGCAAUGUACUGGGACUUUCUUGACGCUGAGGCACGAAAGCGUGGGUAGCGAACGGG